rnacentral:rRNA from 1 species
AUUGAACGCUGGCGGCAUGCCUUACACAUGCAAGUCGAACGGCAGCACGGGUGCUUGCACCUGGUGGCGAGUGGCGAACGGGUGAGUAAUACAUCGGAACAUGUCCUGUAGUGGGGGAUAGCCCGGCGAAAGCCGGAUUAAUACCGCAUACGAACUACGGAUGAAAGCGGGGGACCUUCGGGCCUCGCGCUAUAGGGUUGGCCGAUGGCUGAUUAGCUAGUUGGUGGGGUAAAGGCCCACCAAGGCGACGAUCAGUAGCUGGUCUGAGAGGACGACCAGCCACACUGGGACUGAGACACGGCCCAGACUCCUACGGGAGGCAGCAGUGGGGAAUUUUGGACAAUGGGCGAAAGCCUGAUCCAGCAAUGCCGCGUGUGUGACGAAGGCCUUCGGGUUGUAAAGCACUUUUGUCCGGAAAGAAAUCCUUGGCCCUAAUACGGUCGGGGGAUGACGGUACCGGAAGAAUAAGCACCGGCUAACUACGUG